rnacentral:rRNA from 2 species
AGUGAAGCGGGAUGAGCUCAAAUUUAAAAUCUGGCUGGUUUACUAGUCCGAAUUGUAGUUUAUAGAAGCGUUUUCGGUGGCAGCCUGGGUAUAAAUCCUUUGGAAUAGGGUAUCAUAGAGGGUGAGAAUCCCGUCUUUGACUCAGUGCAUGCUACUAUGUGAUACGUUUUCAAAGAGUCGAGUUGUUUGGGAAUGCAGCUCAAAAUGGGUGGUAAAUUUCAUCUAAAGCUAAAUAUUGGCGAGAGACCGAUAGCGAACAAGUACCGUGAGGGAAAGAUGAAAAGAACUUUGAAAAGAGAGUUAAACAGUGCGUGAAAUUGUUGAAAGGGAAACGUUUGACACCAGUUAUGCGGGUGGAAAAUCAGUCUUUUGCAAUGGGGAGUUGUGGGCGUUCAGACCGCAAGGCUGGCGUUUGCUUCAUCUUUGUUGUAAGUGAUGCACUUUUUCAUUUGCAGGUCAACAUCAGUUUGCUUUGCUGGACAAAACCCCAAGGGAAGGUGGCAGCUUAGGCUGUGUUAUAGCCCUGGGGCGAUACAGUGGAGUGGACUGAGGUUUCGCAGUGUGUGCUCUCGGGCAAGGCUGACUGGGUGCUAUGGGAUCGUUCGGCGUACAAUGCAUGCAUUUUGCGUCGUGUCUUUUUUAUACUCGCUCAACUCGGCUCUUCCACACUUAGGAUGUUGACUUAAUGGUUUUA